rnacentral:rRNA from 1 species
GCGGAGGAGAAGGAAUUAACUAAGAUUCCCUCAGUAACGGCGAGUGAAGUGGGAUGUAGCCCAGCACCGAAUCCGCCUGGCCUAGCGCCUUGUGGACCUGUGGUGUUUGGGGUCCCAGCUUUCGUUCCGCGUGCCGGCUCCUCAGUCGCAUUGAAGGGCAUUUGCUCCACAGCGGGUGUCAGACCCUUGUGACGAGCUGGACCGGGCGAAGGUUUGAGGGACCUCUCGAGUCGGGUUGUUUGAGAAUGCAGCCCAAAGACGGUGGUAAGCUCCAUCGAAGGCUAAACAUUGCCACGAGUCCGAUAGCGAACAAGUACCGUGAGGGAACGUUGAAAAGGACUUCGAAGAGAGAGUUCAAUAGUACGUGAAACCGCCUAGAGGGAAACGAGUGGCUCCGCAUUGUCGGCCAGCGGUGUUCAUGUCGAUGUGCUACGAGAUUCUUUUUGAGAUUGUGUACAGUCGGCCUGUUCUCCUCGGAGAUCGCGUAUCGGCUCAUAAUACUCUAUAUUUGAUGAUCGCACUCGAAUGCAAUCACCGUGAGGCAGGGCGUCACGAUCGCUUUCUGGCGGGCAUCCGAUCGACAAGCUGGCUUGUGAGAACAUCUUUUAGAUCGUUCAACUCGUGUGGCUGUUGGUCGAGUUUGCCGGGGAGCGUGUAACGAUCACCGCGUGUAUGGGCUACAAAGCCAAUGUUGUCGAUGGACGAGCCUUGGCGACGGUCUUACGGCCGCCGUUCUGUCGGUCGUGUAGUCGGCAUCUGGGCAGGUCCUGCGUGGUUUUGGAUCGGUGGCGAUUGAGUCGG